AGUGAACGCUGGCGGUAGGCCUAACACAUGCCAGUCGAACGGCAGCACAGUAAGAGCUUGCUCUUACGGGUGGCGAGUGGCGGACGGGUGAGGAAUACAUCGGAAUCUACUUUUUCGUGGGGGAUAACGUAGGGAAACUUACGCUAAUACCGCAUACGACCUACGGGUGAAAGCAGGGGAUCUUCGGACCUUGCGCGAUUGAAUGAGCCGAUGUCGGAUUUGCUAGUUGGCGGGGUAAAGGCCCACCAAGGCGACGAUCCGUAGCUGGUCUGAGAGGAUGAUCAGCCACACUGGAACUGAGACACGGUCCAGACUCCUACGGGAGGCAGCAGUGGGGAAUAUUGGACAAUGGGCGCAAGCCUGAUCCAGCCAUACCGCGUGGGUGAAGAAGGCCUUCGGGUUGUAAAGCCCUUUUGUUGGGAAAGAAAAGCAGCAGGUUAAUACCCCGCUGUUCUGACGGUACCCAAAGAAUAAGCACCGGCUAACUUCGUG
rnacentral:rRNA from 1 species